rfam:Camelus ferus unplaced genomic scaffold scaffold1858, whole genome shotgun sequence.
AAGGGUACAGCUCAGUGAUAAAGUGCAUGCUUAGCAUGCACAAGGUCCUGGGUUCAAUCCCCAGUACCUUCA